GAUGAACGCCGGCGGCGUGCUUAACACAUGCAAGUCGAACGGUGAAGCAGGAGCUUGCUCUUGUGGAUCAGUGGCGAACGGGUGAGUAACACGUGAGCAACCUGCCCCUGACUCUGGGAUAAGCGCUGGAAACGGCGUCUAAUACUGGAUAUGUGAUGUGACCGCAUGGUCUGCAUCUGGAAAGAAUUUCGGUUGGGGAUGGGCUCGCGGCCUAUCAGCUUGUUGGUUAGGUAAUGGCCCACCAAGGCGUCGACUGGUAGCCGGCCUGAGAGGGUGACCGGCCACACUGGGACUGAGACACGGCCCAGACUCCUGCGGGAGGCAGCAGUGGGGAAUAUUGCACAAUGGGCGGAAGCCUGAUGCAGCAACGCCGCGUGAGGGAUGACGGCCUUCGGGUUGUAAACCUCUUUUAGCAGGGAAGAAGCGAAAGUGACGGUACCUGCAGAAAAAGCACCGGCUAACUACGUGCCAGCCGCCGCCGUAA
rnacentral:rRNA from 1 species